GUACUCACUUCAGAAGAACAUAUACUAAAAUUGAAAUGAUACAGAGAAGAUUAGCAUGACUCUUGUGUAAGGAUGAUACCCAAAUUUGUGAAGUGUUCUACAUUUUU